rnacentral:lncRNA from 1 species
CACCCUUCUCGCCGCACCACCCCGGCGCCCGCGCAAGCCGCUGUUGCCCCCUGCAGGUCUCCAUCUCCCGGAGCAGGGAGCGCGGAAAAACGAGCCAUGGCGGAAAACCUGAGGGAGCUGGCCUCGAAUGAAUCUUUACAACGGUUGCAGGAAAAGCUAGAGUCUUGGGUGAAGGAGUACGACACAAACUCAUGUGAUCAAAAUCUAAAUAAUUGCCUUGAACUCAUCAAGCAAGUUGCCAAAGUACAAGGACAACUCUUUGGGAUCCUCACUACAACUGCUCAAGAAGGAGGACAUAACGAUGGUGUGGAAACAAUCAAGUCACGCCUUUUGCCUUGGUUAGAAGCUUCUUUUACGGCUGCUUCCCUGGGAAGACCUAUUGAUAGCAAGGUCCCCUCUCUACAGGACACGUUUGAUAGAGAGAGACAUAAAGAGCAGGGUCUUCGGGAUCAAGAUCUACAACAAUUAAACUCCGACUCGAACUCAACCCAUAAUCAGCUCAACCAGGUCAAAGACAAGUUUAAAUCCCUUCAAGCCCAGGAGGUUGCCCACCACAGAAGCACUGCAACUAGGCGCCAAGAGCAGUGCAAAACUGAGCAGAGGGUUUUGGCCAGGCAGAACACAGACCAGCGGGACACAGAGCUGUAUGAGGUGUAUGAGAAACAGAUCCGAGACCUGAAAGAUGAGAUAGCUGUCCUGUCUGCAGAAAAAUCUAGUCUCCAAGGAAGGUCAGCCAGGAGCCAGUCUCCUAGCCCUGAGCAUCAGAGCCACAGUGACAACUAUAGCCAGAGCAGGUCUGCCAGCCCCUCUACCGCAGUUGCCAAGGACAGAAGCCCAUCACCAAAUCGGUCCAAACUGUCCAGUGUGGCUCGCAAGGCUGCCCUCCUGUCCAGGUUCAGUGAUGCCUAUUCGCAAGCCCGCCUGGAUGCACAGUGCCUGCUUCGGCGCUGCAUCGACAAUGCUGAGACUGUGCAGCGCAUCAUCUACAUUGCCACUGUGGUAUGUGACAUGGCCAGGGCUGGGAACAAUGGUUUGGUAAGGUUAUAGUACAACUUUAAGACUGAGAGAUCCUGAGGUCACUGAAUGAAGGAAUUCUGUAGUCUCCCCAUCUGUCCCCUUUCUCCUUCUCUCCCUUCCUUCCUCCCUCCUUUCUUUCUUUCCUUUUUCUUUCAUCACAAACAUGUGAGUGUGAAUUGCUUUUCACAAUCAGUAGCCUUUUAUACAUGUGCUAAUAUUUAUAUUGGCCAGACAUUUGUUGAAGAAGUAUCCAUGACUGCAGAACUAUCUUCAGUGGGUAUAAACAAAGUUGAUUUCCAUGGUCCCUUUGUCUAUGAGCACAUGAACACACAGUAGAUAUAUCACUGCAAAUAGCUAUCACUUGAUUGUUUUCCUACAGAAAAAUCAGAGAUUGUAAUUGUGUUAACUCUUCUGUUUAUUUAAUGAAGAGUAGUUACUAAAACUGCCAAUAUAUCAGCUACUUGAGAAUGCAAAUUAAAAAUGUACAUAACCAUGAUCUUUUUGUUUCCAAAGCAAAGGUAUUUGUUCUAUGUGUGGGUGCCAUAUUGAGAUAAAGAGUCCAUGCUGAGAAUAGUUAAAUAUUAAGAAGUGAAAAAAAUGUCAGCAUGAGAGCAGAAUUAUCAGAAAUGAUGUACUUAUUCAUUUAAGCUGCCUAUGGCCUAUGAACCAUAUCUGGACUUUGUAUUUCUAGGAAUACUGCCUAAGAGCUAAGAAUUUAAGAAUGGUUUCACAUCUUUAAAGGGUUUUAAGGAAAAAAUAUAGGAUGGAGACUAUAUUUUGCCUGUAAAGCCUAAUAUUUACUGUGUGGCUUUUUAGAGAACAAAGUUUGUCAAGCCCUGGUUUAUAGAAUUAAGAAUGAGCUUAUUGACCAAAUGGAGAAAGGGAAAGAAAUUGGUAAGUGGAGGUACUCAGGAAGUUCUUGUGGCUAUUUGUGUAGAUUUAUAGUUUUGGCUUUCAUUUUAUUUAGCUAAAAUCAUGGAAGCAACUCUGCAUUUUGGAAAAAAUUCCACUGAAUUAUCAGAAAGUUGAAUUAAGGGCUGGGGAUAAGCAUUUGCCUAGCAUGUGUGAAGCCCUGGAUUUGGUCACCCAACACGACAAAAAAAAAAAAAAAAAAUUGAAUCAGAAAAAAUGACAGCUGUAAGUAAUAACUCUUUUUUUUUUUUUUUUGGUACUGGGGAUCGAACUCAGGUCCUUAUGCUUGUGAGGUGGGCAGUGGAACCACUGAGCUAAAUCCCCAGACCCUAUAAGUAGUAACUCUUUACCCAGUAGUGUCUGAUUUUCAGCAAGUGGAACAUUUUUUAUUAGCGUAUUAGAGAAAAUGGUUAAGUUUUACAGCAAAACUAAGGGAGCAGUAACAUCCAGAAACAAAAGUAACAACUUGAGUUGUUCAGUUAGAGGAACCAACUCAAUUUUUGAGAUCCCCCCCAUGAUAUAGUUACUAUCAUGCUUAACAUUUGUGAUUGGCAAAAUAAUCCAAAACUUUUAAGCCUCGUUGGUUUACACUCCUAAUCACUGACCAUAAGGAUAUAGACCAAAAUUAAGUAGUUGUACUUGAAUACAGAUCUUAGUUCGAGUCUUCCAUAAUCUAAUUACUUGACUUAGUGCUUCUGUGAAGGCUUUUUGGCCCUUGAGAUUUUAUUUAGAUUUCUAAGAUAGUGUAGAAUAGAGACUAAUUAUAGUAUGAAUGCUGAAUUCAAAAGAGUAUGCUUGAAUGACUAGGCACCUUUUUGGCAAACUGUUUACAAACCCAUUAAUUUUGUUCCCAUUGAGAAAAGAAUUGGUCUUGAUUCAUCUGGCUGUAUUCUGGCUAUAAAAGAAAUGGAAUGAUAAAAUGUCUCCCAAAAUGCCUUCCAAAAUGUCUUCCUUGUUUGACUGGUAAUUAAACAGAACUCUUAGGUAUUAUAGAUCACAUCUUUUGGAAUGUUUUUGUAUUGAAAUUUAAUAAAACUUUAACCUACAAAAAAAUGAACUUACUGAGUUGGUUAAACCUGUGUAAGCAUAGAGACCAUGCCUUUCUUACGUAACUAAAUGUUCCCAGUGCCUACUAUAUAAUAGCCAUAAUAAAAUUUUUGAAUUAUUAUAUGCCAGGAAACAUACUUGACUCUUGAUAUGUGUUUACAUAUAAGAUAAACACUGUAUUGGUAAUUUUAUUUCUUGGCCAGUAAUAUGAUGUUGCUAUUGACUGAUAGCAAGAUUUAUAUUCUUGAAUCUCUUCACUGCCCUUCCUACACUCAGAAUUAAGAGAACAGGGUCAAAUUGUCUUGAAACGACUGGAUGUGGAUUUUCACGUAAGUAUUCAUGUACUUUUCAAAUUUAAGGUGUAUUUUCUGUCAGAUUAAAAAUACUUUUGACCAACUGCAUACAGUUAUCCAAAGAUUAACAUGAAGUUGAGUUGUUUAUCUUUUUCUAAUUUCUUUCUUAGGACCUCUUUACCCUCCUCCUCUCACCAGAUAAAUCUGCUGUGUUUUCAUGUUCAGGAGGCAUUUCAUGUGGCUAAAAUGGCAUUCAGACACUUCAAGUUCCGGGUGAGGAAGUCAAUGACGACACCAUCUUACUUGGGGUCGAAUGACUUUGAGAAUGCUGUCAUGGACUAUAUCAUUUGUCAUCUUGAUCUAUAUGAUUCCCAAAGCAGUGUUAAUGUAAGUAUUAGGCCUCUCAUUAGGACUAGUUGGUGACUAAUGAAGUUUGUAUUGGAUACUGAUAACUCAGGAAUCCAUCAAGAUUUAGUAUUA